GAUGAACGCUAGCGGCAGGCCUAAUACAUGCAAGUCGAACGGUCCGCUUCGGCGGAUAGUGGCGCACGGGUGCGUAACACGUAUGCAACCUACCUUACAUUGGGGGAUAGCCUUUCGAAAGGGAGAUUAAUACCGCAUAAGACAGUAGCUGGGCAUCCAGUAGCUGUUAAAGAUUUAUCGAUGUAAGCUGGGCAUGCGUCCAAUUAGUUAGUUGGUGAGGCAACGGCUCACCAAGACGAUGAUUGGUAGGGGAACUGAGAGGUCAAUCCCCCACACUGGCACUGAGAUACGGGCCAGACUCCUACGGGAGGCAGCAGUAGGGAAUAUUGGGCAAUGGACGCAAGUCUGACCCAGCCAUGCCGCGUGCAGGAAGAAGGCGUUCUGCGUUGUAAACUGCUUUUAUAUAGGAAGAAACGACCCUUGCGAGGGGCAUUGACGGUAUUAUAUGAAUAAGCACCGGCUAACUCCGUGCCAGCAGCCGCGGUAAAAC
rnacentral:rRNA from 1 species